CAUUAGAAGUAGAGCCAAAGUGUUAAAUUCCUUUUCUGUCCAGCACCCACAUUUCUCUGGGUUUUUCUGUUUUCAUCUGUGAGCUUAUUUGUUUUUUUUUUGGUAUUUCUAAGUGAAUCCUUGCUUGUGAUUAAUACCUAGCCUAUAGAAGUAUCUGGACCUAUGUUUAAUCUGCAGGUUUUUGAUAAAAAUUUUCAGUGUAAGUAGUGACAGCCAAAUAUCCCAUACUAACAGAAAACAAAUCCAUUAUUAUCCAAUGAUUAAAUAUUGUCACUUUACUAUUAUUUGAAGUAAUGAAUGCAGAGUUUUGUUCUCUUUUUUUGUUCUUUUUUUCCUACUCUUUUAACACAGUAGUUUUAAAUUGCCAUACUAUUUCUCUAAUUCUUUCUUCCUUCUUUCUACCCUCUUCUAAAAUCAGGUCAAUGGAAGAUGAGACAAAUGCGUUAUGAAUGUCAGAUAUUAAAAGGAAUUAAAUAAUUCUAACAAAGAAUUAAGUCAGGUGAUACAAGCGGCCAUACUAAUAAAACCUUCCUUUGGAGGCUUUGUGAUUCAUGUGAAUCUAUAUGCCACAUAAUUAGGAAUCCAUGUGAAUAGCAGCUAAGGUGGAUCAUCAAUAUCAAUAAAAUAUGAGACUUUCAAAGAUGUCUUGAAAAAAGAAGCAAUUGGUCAAAAUAUGUGGAGCAUGUACAGGUCAACAUUACACUGUAUGCAGUAUACUUUGUUCUUCUCUAUAAACACAUAAACUUAUUUUCAAGUCACAUUUUAGAACUAAGCUUCAGGAAUUAAUUUGGCAAAAGGAUAAUUUAGUUAGAACUCCAAAUGAGCAGUGAGUAUGUAAGGCAUGAGGCCAUAAAAUCAGUUGAUCAGCUGACAUACCUUUUGGCAUUUUAUGUAUGCAACUGAUUUUAGAAAUGUGAUUGCCAAAAUUCAAAUGCAAAAAUAUUUUGAAAAAUUAAAGCAUAAGUAAUGAAUCCAUCAGGUUAGAGGAUUUUUUUCUUUCUAGGAGUAAAAAUUCAUUAAUUAUAGGUAAAACAUAUUUACACUUGUGAAUAUAUAUUUACAUUUUUUUUCCUUACGAACAACUACUGCAUACUGGCAGACAUUUUGAACAUAUUUACUCUAUUGUUCUGUGCAAUAAGAAAUGAUUGUCAUAAGUACUUGAUACUAGAAAAAAAAUUAAAUCAUGUUAUUUAUAAAUAAGAAAUACAGUUUAGAAUGUUUCAAAUAUAAGAUUAAAACUAAUCUUUUUUCUAUAAACCUUGUAUUAAAAAGAAAAUUGAAUUAUUAUGUUAUUCCCAUAGAUUAUUUGAUAUUAUGUUUAUUCAUUAUGAUAUUAGUAUAUAGAGAUAAAUAAAAUAGUAAACAAUGAAUAUUGAGUGACCAUACAAUACUAAGUAAAAAAAGUAGAAGGUAAGACAUUUUAUUUUUGAAAGAAAUUUUUGUAAUUUUAUUCUACUAUCCACUAAGCUACUCAAAUAUAUACUUAAGAGUUUAAAUAUAAUUUAGGGAGUUCCCAUUGUGGCUCUGGGGGUUAAGAACCAAACAUAGUCUCUAUGAGGAUGUGGGUUUGAUCUCUGGUCUCACUCAGUGGGUAAGUAUCCGGUAUUGCUGUGGCUGUAGUGUAUGUUAGCAACUGCAGAUCUGAUUUGACCCCUGGCCUGGGAACUUCCAAAUGCUGCUGGGUGGCCACAAAAAGGAAAAUAACUUAGAUAAAUGAAAUAAAAAGUACAAACCAUCUUCCUCUAUAUGUUUCUGGCACAUAUAAAAAUAUAUGGGCUUUAUAUAAAAUAUGCUCUUGCAACUAAAAAUUUAGGAUCCACUGGACAUGCUUAGGAAAAUACAAUGUACUUUACACACAAUUUACUUGAGAGCAAAUGUUCAUAAUAGUGAUUGAAAUAAUUUGAUAAUUCUGAUUUCAAAAUUGUUAAAUGUUACUACACUUAUUUCUCAUUUAUAUAGUGCAGAAACAUUUAAAUGGAACCUCUAAUUAUGAUUACCUCCCUUAGACUAUGGUCAGAUUAAUUAAUUUGUUUUCAGUUUGUAUUGAAUUAAAACAGGAAAUGACUGUUUAAUAUACUGCAGGCACUAGUUUAGUAAUCAUGGGCUUGGGAAGUGAGAGAUAAGGGCAGCACAGAUCAAAGAAGCCGUGGUUAGGUUUUGCACAUCUGGGUCUGGAUCACCAUCCUCCCCUGCUCUCACAUUCACGAUGCACAGUUGAGCAUGUCGAAGCUUGUUAGGAUAGUUUUGGACCUGAAGCAGUUUAUAAACAAAAGUAAAAUGCCAUCAGCAUCAGUCCUGUGACUGGGACACAGCCACAAUGUGAUUAUAUGGUCAAGAUGGGCUGAGUCAUAGGACACAAGACCAUGCUCCAUCAGUGUGAUGUCUCCCUCACUAGUCAGCAUCCAGGUCCAUGGAAAACCCUGGUCAGGUUCCAAGAGGAGGGUAGGUUGGUUCAUUGGGUAGCAGAGUAUUGAGGGAAUUCUUAUCUGAUGGCCUUUUCAUUUUCCUGUGAAGGAAGAGCUGGCAAAGACUGAAGGAAAGAGAUGCCCAAAUUAAUAGUUAAGACAUUGGAGGAGUCAUUGCAAGGCAGGCCUGGGAUCAUGAACAUGAUUAGAAACACAGAGAUAUUAACUCACCAGUCUACACUGCUGGUCCACCCCCCCCCCCCCGCUUACUCCAGCCUGCACCAAUACCAUUAGUAAUAAUUAUAAUCAGUGCAGAAUGGCAGUUUUGCUGGAUAAAUGAAAUGAAGAGCAAAAGGCCAGAAUGAUUUAAGUGUUAAUCUGUGCAUAGAAAAGGAAGGGAAAAUAAGAAGGGAGAUACGGAAAACAAGGUAGAAGAGGGAUCAAAAGAACAAAGUCAAACUGAGAUAAAAUAAGAAACAUAUUAAAGACAACAGAGUCCCAGUGUUGGAAGUUUGUGAUCAAAUGCUAUAAAAACCAUUUGGUUGGCUUGGUUGAUUAUUUUAGAGAUAAAGGGAUUCCAAAGACUGUUGAGCUCCACUGAUGUCAGUCCAAGUAUUUGAGAUCAACCUGAUGGGAAAUUUCCUUUUGGCUUAGACCUGCAGAUGAUUUUCACUUGCGUCUCUAGAUCUCAUCCGUACUGAACACCUCACACCACUCUUAACUGACCACAUGAUAGCAUAGAAGGUGAAGACAUCUGGACUCUGUUACUGCUGGAGUCUGCUAAGAAAUCUAAAUCAUACCCAAAGCAAAUUUGGUAUAAAGAUAACUCUGACACCAUCCUAUGUUAACUACCCUGAAUAUCAUUUGCAUAGUAGUAGAAGGCUUAUAUUCUUACAUUUAUGCAACUAUAAAUGGAGAAAAUACUGUAUGAUUGAAAUUCAGACAUGAGGACAAUAUUGGUUUCCUUUGUGUUAUCCAUGGCUAUGCUUUUGUGAUACUGUCCAUCCAACAAUUAAGGCCUCUAAGGAAUUCUAGGUUUCAGAAUAAUACCGUUCCGAGUUGGCAAGCAAACAGCAUGAAUGCUACCUAAUUUAUAACUGCAUUUUCCCAGCUGUGUAGAGAAUUAACGGAAGAAUUCUUCUUGACAUACUGUCUCAAGCAGUCACUAUCAAUUCGUCAGGAUUUGUACUUCAGAAGCAAGCUACUUGACAUUUCUAGUCUUUUCCUUAGAAAACCCAGAAGGAUUCUACAUAAUUGCCUUUGGUUCUAGUAACAUAGGCAAAUGCUCAAGGACAAGUACAUCUAAAGGGACAGGGAUGAUUUGGUUUGAUGACGUUCACAGGCACACUAGGCCUCCUGAAAUCCAAUCCAUUCAAGACAGGUUCCCAAAGAGACUUCUAAAGCCAGAGUGAACCCACACGAUCUUAUUCUCCACAAAGGGCCUUUGUGGUUCUUGAAUUCAUCUUGCUAAAAGUGCACUGAAUCUGCUCUCUCUCAUGGCUAUGUCUCUUCCCCCCAUAUUUGAUAUAAAACAGCAUAUAUUUAUCAUAUCUUGGUUGGCUAGUUGUCUUAAGAAAUAUGAAAGCAUUCUACAAAUAUAUGUAAGAAGUCUAUAUGUGCUUUCUUAUAUUCUCAUGUGCUUUCUUAUAUUCUAAAAAUAAAUACAAUUAGUGUUAUUCCUGUAUGUUAAUUUCAACAUGUAAAGUUGAGGAAUUUCUAAUACACAAAGAAGAAAAUCAGGGUUCCCAUCAUGGUUCAGUGGUAACAAAGCUGACUAAUAUCCAUGAGGACGUGAUUUUGAUCCCUGGCCCCACUCAGUAGGUUAAGGAUCCUGUGUUGCCAUGAGCUGCAGUGUAGGUCACAGUUGUGGCUCAGAUCUGGCAUUGCUGUGGCUGUGGCAUAGGCUGGCAGCAGCAGCUCUGAUUUGACCCCUAGCCUGGGAACUUCCAUGUGCUGCAGGUGUGGCCUU
rnacentral:lncRNA from 1 species